UUAUAGGCUCAAAUUUUGUUUUUUAAUUUUGAAAAUUCAUAUUUGUAUUUCUAUCAGUUUUAUGAAUGUAAUGAUAUAUAUUUUAUUCGAAACAAAAAUUAAAUGUAACACGAAAAGUAUAUGAAAAUUUUGGAUCGUUUCAUAAAAAUCAGUUAUUGGAUUCCUAAAACCGUUUAUAAUACAAAUAUAAUUUUUGAAAAUUAUAAAAAAAAAUAAAUACAGUUGGGCCGUAAUGGAGCAACAGCAGAGCCCAGGCAUCUUAGGGAAACAGAUUGGCCCAACCCAAUUAACACAGUUCAAUUGGAUUACAUGGGAUUGGGUCGGUUCGGUGGGCCCUGAAUAGGUGGAAAAUCCGUUUUCUUGGGCUGCUUUUGAUCUAAACCGGAAACAACCACAUUUCUUCGGAUUCGGAAACAUAUCUGUCUGCGACCGCGAACUUUUCAGUAGCAGGUGAAGUCCAUCCUUAAACCCUAGCUCUCUCCUGUAAUUCUCCGAUCACGUUUUGAGAGCAGUUUGGUUUUCAACAAUGGCUAAUAUCGGCUUUAGAAAAAUUUUCUCUUCGAUACAAAAUCAUUUUCUUUCAACGUCUGCAGCAUUCUAUUCUUCUUCUUCUUGCUCCUCUGUUUCACGGCCGUUCACAGUCGAGUACCUCAUGAACUCCUGUGGGCUUUCAUUAAAAUCAGCCAUUUCAGCUUCCAAUAAGAUCCUCCUAGUCGAAAACAAUCUUAAGAAUCCCGAUUCUGUGCUUGAUUUAUUGAAGUCUCAUGGUUUCAGCAGUACCCAGGUAGCCAAAUUGAUCGAAAAGCGCCCGUCGUUACUUCUUUCUAAGGUAGAAGGUAAUCUCAAGCCCAAAAUUGUCUUCCUCGUCGGAAAUGGCUUCAAGGGUUCGUUGUUGCCAGAGCUGAUUGUUGGGAAUCCGAUAAUUUUGUUAAGAGCGCUGGAUUCUCAUAUUAAACCAUCCAUUGAAUUUCUGAAGGGAGUUCUUCAAAAUGAAGAGAAAUUUAUUGCUGCUAUUCGGCGGUCAUCGUGGUUGAUUACUUUUGGUUGGAAGGGAAUAGUGAAGCCGAAUAUAGAAUAUUUGAUCGGUGAGGGAAUUCCCAUUAGUAAUAUAUGUAAAUUUAUUCAGUUGCAGCCAAGAUCUAUGCUGCAAAAGCCUGAUAGGAUGAUUUAUUCGGUGGAAUAUGUCAAAAAACUGGGCAUUGAACCAAGCACUCCCAUGUUUGUUCAUGCUCUUAAGACGAUGACAGGUAUGAGUGAAACAACUUGGAAAAAGAAAUUUGAGGUGUUGAAGAGUCUGGGUUGGAAUGAAGAGCAGAUUGUUUCAGCUUUCAAGCGAAACCCAUACUUUAUGGCUGCUUCAGAGGAGAAAUUGAGACUGGCAACGGAUUUUUAUAUGAAUACUAUGAAUUUGGACUUGGACACAUUGGUUUCAUACCCUACAUUUUUUGUCUAUGGCAUUGAUCAAAGAAUUCGACCUAGGUACAAUGUUCUCAAAGUUCUGCAGUCGAAGAAUUUGGUUAGUAAGGAAAAAAAGAUUGAAUGGCUUUAUACAGUGAGCGAGAAGGUUUUCAGGGACAACUAUGUACUCAAGUAUGUGGACGAAGUCCCAGAACUACUGCAGAUAUAUGAUGUUACAGGCAAGAAGCAAAGGAAAGCCACUUGAUAGUGAAGAUUGUAAAGGUAAGAUUUUGAGUUUUGAGCAUUGGAAGGAUUUAAUUUGUUCCAUCAAUAUCAUCUAUUUAUGCAAGUGAAUACACUUCCCAUUUGGUGGAGGCAAUCUGUUAUGGUGUACUGAUAUAGCUUGCUUGGAAGCUGGCUCAGAUCAGAAAUGCACAUGACACCAGGUCAUGGACAAGAUGGACUCAGUCCUGGGUUGAUUUUCUCGAGUAUAAGAUAAAAAUGCCUGUUUUUGGCUCUGAAGACUGUUUUGAUCGGUAAACUAGUUUUAAUUUUCAGUAAACAAGCUGCACAAAUAUUACAGCAUGAGCUUUAC